rnacentral:ncRNA from 2 species
UGGUCGUACGUAUUUUUACGUUCACUGGUGAACAAAUCAGGACGCUUAGAGUAUGGCCACAUGAAUGACUCAGCGCAGUAUGAAGUCUUUGUUUUCUUCCGAAAACAAGCUCAAUGAGAGCCAUCGGGGGUAGAUCUAUCUCAUGACGAGUGGUGGAAUACUUUGACUCAUGAGAGAGAAGCUGAGGCGAAGGCGUCUACCUAGAGGGUUUCUGUCGAUCAAGGGCGAGAGUAGGAGUAUCCAACAGGAUUAGAGACCCUGGUAGUUCCUACCUUAAACGAUGCCGACAGGAGUUUGUCAUUUGUUAAUGGCAGAAUCUUUGGAGAAAUCAUAGUUCUUGGGCUCUGGGGGAACUACGACCGCAAGGCUGAAACUUGAAGGAAUUGACGGAAGGGCACACCAGGGGUGGAGCCUGUGGCUUAAUUUGAAUCAACACGGGGAAACUUACCAGGACCAGAUGUUUUUUAUGACUGACAGGCUUCGGGUCUUUCAGGAUAUUGUUUUUGGUGGUGCAUGGCCGUUGGUGGUGCGUGGGUUGACCUGUCUAGCGUUGAUUCAGCUAACGAGCGAGAUUAUCGCCAAUUAUUUACUUUGCCGAAGUCCUUCGGUUAAAGUUCUAAUUGGGACUCCCUGCGAUUUUAGCAGGUGGAAGAGGGUAGCAAUAACAGGUCCGUGAUGCCCUUUAGAUGCUCUGGGCUGCACGCGUGCUACAAUGUUAGGAUCAAUAGGACUGCGAGCCUGAGAGGGUGCGCUACUCUUAUAAUCCCUAACGUAGUUGGGAUUGACGUUUGUAAUCAG